GACCUGGCAGCAUAAUGCGUAAUGUGUCGGUGUUUUAUUUAGAACAGGCCGAAGAUCCCCGUUCGAUUCGGGGUCAGGUCG